rnacentral:sRNA from 1 species
UAUUGGGUUACAAACUUAGUACUUGUUUAGUAUUCUUUCCUAGGAAAAGUCUCUGGACCUUAGUCAGAGAACAGCACGUGUGCACACAUUAAGAUAUCCCCUGCUUCUCUCUACCAAGCUUAGUAAGAAGUGAUGACACCUUUUGACAGGGCAGCUAUAUAUUUUGUUCCAGAGAAUCAGAUAU